rnacentral:rRNA from 1 species
GAGUUUGAUCGUGGCUCAGAUUGAACGCUGGCGGAAUGCUUUACACAUGCAAGUCGAGCGGCAGCGCGGGGCAACCUGGCGGCGAGCGGCGAACGGGUGAGUAAUGUAUCGGAACGUGUCCUGAGAUGGGGGAUAGCCCGGUGAAAACCGGAUUAAUACCGCAUACGAUCGAGAGAUGAAAGUGGGGGACCGCAAGGCCUCACGUCUUAGGAGCGGCCGAUAUCUGAUUAGCUAGUGUGGGUAAGCCCACCAAGGCUUCGAUCAGUAGCUGGUCUGAGAGGAUGAUCAGCC